AACUCCACUGUUUUUUUUUUUUCAGGGAUAAAACAACAUAUACGUGAGAUAAGAGAAGUUAUUCAAGAUAAGGAAUUACACAGUUCCUUUCCUAAUCUGUCAUGGCCCACACCACUUCACUGUGGCUGUCAUGGUGUGUAAUAUAUCCCUCUUUCCAUCACCUCUCAGAGACAAAGAUGUGGGGCCUCCCUUGCCAGGAGAAAUGUGGACUUCUAUUGAGGACUAGUAAUACAAGCUUCAUUAAGUGCUGCGUCUUCUGGGAAAUAACCCUGUGUUGGAGCUUCAGCUGUUCAAGGUGUUGCGAGCUCUGGACCAUCUCCAAGAAAGCUCCUAGGGAAUGGUCAGAUUUAGGAAGAAAAAGAAGAAAACCUCAGACUUCGGGUGCUUAUCUCCUUUUAGAGAUCUACAGAAAUCAAUAUUCAAGCUAAAAGAUAAAGAAAUGUAACAAAAAGAAGAAGAGGAUAAUAAAGAC
rnacentral:lncRNA from 1 species